rnacentral:rRNA from 1 species
GACGAACGCUGGCGGCGUGCUUAACACAUGCAAGUCGAACGGAAAGGUCCUGCUUUUGUGGGGUGCUCGAGUGGCGAACGGGUGAGUAACACGUUAGUAACCUGCCCUUGACUUUGGGAUAACUUCAGGAAACUGGGGCUAAUACCGUAUAGUAGCUCCUGCUGCAUGGUGUGGGUUGGAAAGUUUCGUCGGUUGGGGUUGGCCUCGCGGCUUAUCAGCUUGUUGGUGGGGUAGUGGCUUACCAAGGCUUUGACGGGUGGUCGGUCUGAGAGGAUGACCGGCAGCAUUGAGACUGAGAUAUGGAGCAGACUGCUACGGGAGGCAGAAAUGGGGAAUAUUGCAAAAAGAGCGGAAGCAUGAUGCAACAACGCGGCGUGCGGGAUGACGGACUUAGGGUUGUAAACCGCUUACGACUAUGACGAAGCGUGAGUGAAGGUAAUGGGUAAAGAAGAACGGAAUAGCUACGUG